UAGGGAAUUUUCGUCAAUGGGCGCAAGCCUGAACGAGCGAUGCCGCGUGAGUGAAGAAGGCCUCGGUCGUAAAGCUCUGUUGCGGGGGGAAAAAAAGGGGACGAGCAUCAGGAAAUGGGUGCUGACUGAUGGUGCCCCGCCAGAAAGUCACGGCUAACUACGUGCC
rnacentral:rRNA from 1 species